rnacentral:rRNA from 1 species
CCUACGGGCGGCUGCAGUCGAGAAUCUUCGGCAAUGGGCGCAAGCCUGACCGAGCGACGCCGCGUGUGGGAUGAAGGCCUUCGGGUUGUAAACCACUGUUAGAGGGGAUGAAAUGCAGGUGGGUUCUCCCAUCUGUUUGACAUAGCCUCAGAGGAAGGACGGGCUAAGUUCGUGCCAGCAGCCGCGGUAAGACGAACCGUCCGAACGUCUGGCGGAAUCACUGGCGUAGAAGGGUGGGUAAGUUGCGCGUGAAAUACCUCGGCUCAACCGAGGAACUGCGCCCAAAACUGCCGUGCUCGAGGAAGAUAGAGGUGAGCGGAACUUAGGGUGGAGCGGUGAAAUGCGUUGAUAUCCUAAGGAACACCGGUGGCGAAAGCGGCUCACUGGAUCUUUUCUGACGCUGAGGCACGAAAGCUAGGGUAGCGAACGGGAUUAGAUACCCUUGUAGUC